rnacentral:rRNA from 1 species
CCAUGCAGUCGAGCGGUAAGGCCCUUCGGGGUACACGAGCGGCGAACGGGUGAGUAACACGUGAGCAACCUGCCCCUGACUCCGGGAUAAGCGGUGGAAACGCCGUCUAAUACCGGAUACGACCCGCCACCUCAUGGUGGAGGGUGGAAAGUUUUUCGGUCAGGGAUGGGCUCGCGGCCUAUCAGCUUGUUGGUGGGGUAACGGCCUACCAAGGCGAUUACGGGUAGCCGGCCUGAGAGGGCGACCGGCCACACUGGGACUGAGACACGGCCCAGACUCCUGCGGGAGGCAGCAGUGGGGAAUAUUGCGCAAUGGGCGAAAGCCUGACGCAGCGACGCCGCGUGGGGGAUGACGGCCUUCGGGUUGUAAACCUCUUUUACCACCAACGCAGGCUCGAAGUUCUCUUCGGGUUGACGGUAGGUGGGGAAUAAGGACCGGCUAACUACGUGCCAGCAGCCCGCGGUAAUACGUAGGGUCCGAGCGUUGUCCGGAAUUAUUGGGCGUAAAGAGCUCGUAGGCGGCGUGUCGCGUCUGCUGUGAAAGACCGGGGCUUAACUCCGGUUCUGCAGUGGAUACGGGCAUGCUAGAGGUAGGUAGGGGAGACUGGAAUUCCUGGUGUAGCGGUGAAAUGCGCAGAUAUCAGGAGGAACACCGGUGGCGAAG